AGUGAACGCUGGCGGUAGGCCUAACACAUGCAAGUCGAACGGCCGCACAGUAAGCGCUCGCUCUUACGGGUGGCGAGUGGCGGACGGGUGAGGCAUACAUCGGCUUCUACUUUUUCGUGGGGGACAUCGUAGGGCCACUUCCGCUAAUACCGCAUAUGACCUACGGGUGAAUGCAGGGGAUCUUCGGACCUUUCGCGAUUCAAUUAGCCGAUGUCGGAUUAGCUAGUUGGCAGGGUAAAGGCCCACCAAGGCGACGAUGCGUAGCUGAUCUGAGAGGAUGAUCGGCCACACUGGAACUGAGACACGGUCCAGACUCCUACGGGAGGCAGCAGUAGGGAAUCUUGGGCAAUGGGCGAAAGCCUGAUGCAGCCAUACCGCGUGAGUGAAGAAGGCCUUCGGGUUGUAAAGCCCUUUUAUUGGGAAAGAAAAGCAGCAGGUUAAUACCCCGCUGUUCUGACGGUACCCAAAGAAUAAGCACCGGCUAACUUCGUG
rnacentral:rRNA from 1 species